GCCGUCUCUUCCCGGCCGGCCCUGCCCUGCGCUGCAGAGGGACGGCCGGCACCUCCAUUGUUCCCGGCCCCUCACCACCCCCGGCCGGGAGCACCCACCGGCCCACCUGCCCGCCUGCGGGGGGACUCCCGCCUCUCCCCCCUGCGGCCGCAGCCCAGGAGGCAGGGAGCUGGUCUUCCCGGCCGCUGCCCUCCUGGUCCCCCUGCAACCAGGCUGGUGGGGCAGCUUGGGCCGAAGCCAAGCCUGUGUCCUGGGCGACAGGGCCAGCACAUCUCGCCCUUGGACUCCACAGCCAGCGGUGGCCAGAACCCCAGGGCCCGGAGCCGGGGGCAGGCAGACGCCAACCUGUAACCUCAUUGGUGAGAACCAGCACUGCCUGCUCAGUGGGGGGCGGGGGGAGGCCCCCGGAGCCACGGCCACCCUCUAUCCUCACCCGAAACCCUCCUCAGCCUGGACAAGAGCAGGAGGGGCCUGGGCUACUGGGGCAGCGUCUGGGGACAGAGGCCCAUUGUCCCGCCCUGUCCGCCCCUCACCUGGGACUCAGAGGGGCUGAGCCUGCCGUCCGUGUCUUUCCCUGGGACGCCCACCGGGAGGGCACCGCUCUGCCCCUGAUGCCGGGGCUGCCAGCCUCCCGUGGGCAGGACCCCCGGCCCCUCCUCAAGUGCCCACCUCAUGCCCAGAGCGGGCGGCCUGCUGGGCGGGCGGGGAGGUCACCUGAGGCCCGGACCCCAGGGGCUCCCAGCUGCAGCCGCCCAGCCUCCCCCGGGCUGAGCCCCCACACACAGGGCCUGGGGACCCCCUCCUGAGCCCCAUCUCUCCCAGCUCCUCGGGUCAGUGUCCUCAGAGAACGUGGGUCCCCUCCGGCUGCUGAAGGCCCCCCACCGAGUCCCCUCUCCCCGGGCGGCCCCAGACCCACCUGGGGGCGGCCACUGCCAUCUUACUGGGCAGCAUUGGAUGGUGUCAGGUCUCUAAUACUGCCUGGUAAUGAUGACGGCGGGGCCCUGCGCGCAGCGAGGGGCCGUCCCCGAGCCCCCAAACCUCUCCCCACACAGACCCCCCCACCCCCCUCCUGCCCGGUGCCCUCCAGGUGAAAUUACUGGCAGCCCCCCCCGGCCCUGGCGGGUCCAAGAGCCCCUCCCAGCCCCACGAAGGGGAGCCUCCGCAGCUGCUCUGAGCCCCUCCCAGACAGGCCUCGGGGUAGGACGCUCAGGUGCCCAGGCCCUGCCCCUCCCGCCCCAGCAGGCGCCACGCCGCCCCCAGCAGGCGAGGGCGAAGCAGAACCAAGGCAAAGGCUCUGAGGGCGGAGGGCAGCGUGGUGGUCGGCCGGCCAGAGCCCAGGUGGGGGGCCACCCGGUCGGGCAGCUGCGCCUCCAGCCUCAGCCCCGGGCCCCAGUCCUCACUCUGGAGAAGACAGGAGCACGAAGGCCUCCCACCGGGUCCUCCCGCCCGGGGGCCGGGCACACUGGGCCUCUGUGGGCAUCUUACCGGACAGUGCUGGAUUUCUCGGCUCGACUCUAACACUGUCUGGUAACGAUGUUCAAAGGUGACCCACGGCGCUGCCGGGAGCGGCCGAGGACGUGCUGUCCUGAGUCCCUGGCCCAGAGCCGGGCGGAGACCCAGGGCGGGUAGGGCACAGGGGACAACCUGUCCCAGCCAGGCCCGCGGCGACCUGACCCCCAGGAGAGACCACGAUGGCCGGGACGCGGGGGCCGGAGAAGGGCGCCAGCCCCGCCCGCACGCCAGCCUCGUCUGGGGCCGUGCCCAGCGCUGUGGUUGCCGCUGGGGGCUCCGAGGACUCGCACGGAAUCGGCGGCCGGCCAGUCGCAGCCACUGGGUCCAGAGCUGGGGGCAGGCAGCCCUCCCAUCCACCACGCAGGUCCCAUGUCCACCGUGGCUUCCACGCGCGUCCGCGGGAGCUGGCCCCCCUGAGCCCCGGUCUGCUGGGUCCGCAGUGGGCACUGGCCUCUCUCAGCUCUGACCCUGUCAGGGCCACGUGCUCCCGGGGCCACCUGGGACGCAGGGAGGGCAGGUGCGUCCAGGUGCCCCGCCCCGGCCCACAGGCUGAGGAUGGUGCCCCCCCCCCGUAUUCCCCGAUGAGGACGGUCUCCCUGCCUCCCUGCCUCCCUGCCCCCCAGUCCUCCACCAGCCCCGCAGUGUCACAGGCAAGAAAGGGAACAUGGUCUGAAACCCAGGUCAGGGCCCUAGGUUUUAUCUUUUGUAUCGGAAGCCAGGACUGGGGCUCGCAGACCUGCUGACAGGCACAGGGGCAGCCCUUCCGGCCCAGGAACCCCACCAGCCCUGGGCCCCAGCUGGUCUGUCAGGGGAGGAGGGUCUGCCCAGGCCUCCUGUUACUCAUUAACGAGCCUGACUCAGGGUCAAGUGCAGGGCAACCAGAUGCCCCAGCUGCUCGCUCGCUCUCUCUCUCUCUCUCUCUCUCUCUCUCACACACACACACACACACAUACACACACACACACACACCUGGGGGCUGCAGGCUGGGGGGUUCUGUGGGAGGCCCUCCUCGAAGCAGCCCAGGGGCCAGGCGGGCGCUGGGAGGCUCCGGCCAGACCUCGGGCCGCGGGGCGCUGUGGGAUCGGAGGUGCCGCUCUGCAGACUCAGGAGGCCCAGGUCUCGCCCCCCGCUGAACGCCACAGACAGGCAGCCUGUGAUGGGCGUCUUACCAGACACGGUUAGACCUGGUCCUCUGUCUAAUACUGUCUGGUAAUGCCGUCCAUCCACGGCCCGGUCGCCGGAGGAGGGCCCCUCGCCGACGCCGGUGGAAGUCGAGGUCCACUGUCCAUCGGGCCCAGCCGCGGCUCGGACCAGGUGGGGGUGCCUCGGGAGGGCAAGACAGAAGCAGUCCCGCCUCCCAACUCCCACCCACGAUGG